rnacentral:lncRNA from 1 species
AUGAUACGGGUAUGUUUGUUUGAUCUGGUGUUGUCAAAUUUUACGUUUUCUUUUUCGAUUAUAUCGGUUGUUACAGUGAUAACAACAUUGUAUAAUAGUGGGUUGAGGUUUGGUGGGCCUAUUGUGUUGGUGUAUGGUUAGUUGGUUGCUUGUGUGUUCACCAUGGCUGUGGGUUUGUCUAUUUCUGAAAUUUGUUUAUCUUAUCCAACUUCUGGUGGUCUUUAUUCUUGGAGAAACUUGCUGGUCAUAGUUGGGCACCCUUUCCCUCUUGGAUCACUAGCUGGUAAAAAAUCAAUUUAAUUUCUUUAAAUAUAAUAACCAUAUAAAUAUAAAAGUAUGAUCUGAAUGAAUGAUAGAUAGGAUACAAGACUUUUUAUGAAGAAGAAAAUCUCAAACUUCAAAAUACAUGGUUAAGGCCUUGAGGGAAUAGGGAAGAGAUAAGAUGUGGUGGCAACUGGUAAGGGUGGAGAACAUGGCUCUCUAUGUUGCUUAUACCCAAAAUGACCAAAAUUACCCAAGUACGGCGAUGAGGAUUGGAGCUCGAACACCGCCGCUCAUACGAUUACUAUUGCUGACCCCGUUGACCAGCGAAGAACCGGAACCCGUUUAAGAGCCCCAUGCUUCAGCUUCAUAAAGGUACUUUUUCAUCUUUUGUUUUGACUUUUGAAUUUGAUAUUUUUGGUAUAUAGGUUUAUAUGUUUGUUUGGUGUGAUUGUUGUUGUAAUUAAAUCACUUCUUAUAAAUGCCAUCUUUUGUUUUAGUUUGAGAUAUUGUUGUUGUUAUUCAGAUCGAUAUAUCAUUAAUGCCUUCUUUUGUUUUAGUCGUUAUGAAAAACUACUGCUAACCAAAUUGUAAUCAAAUUGUGAAAACUAGAAACAUGAAACACAUAAUAAUUAGAUUGGUUAUGCAAAUGAGAAACAUGCAAUUACUUUCAAUCCUGGAUUGAUCAUGCAAUUGUAAAACUCCUUCCAAACCCCGAUUCGCUUUAUCGCAAGCUUCUUUCAGGUCAUUAUCUUCUCCUUUAACCUCAGUAAUAAUAAUCGAUAUACAGAUUUUAAAUCUAUAUGAAUCAUUUAGUUUGUCUGGUCCAGUUUAAUCUUCGUUCGAAAUCUUGCAAUCAAUUAAAGCCAAUGGCUGCAGCUGUAGCCCAAGCCCUGCGGGCAAACAAAGACCUUGGUUGACCAUGAUGGCAUUGCAGCUUAGGGUAGCCUGGUUGAUGAAGUUAGACAAGGAAGUCCAGCCGAUGGUGAUGAAGAGAACUAAUAAGUACGCAAAGGUGUCUUUUGGUUCUAAGUAGUCAAAACUAGAAUAGUAGAUGUGGCCGCAACACACAUGGAGUACGCCGCCGCAACGCGCGGCGGGUAAAACUACUAGUUUAUGUUUAAUUUAAAUCUGAGUUGUCGGAACAGGAUUAAUUGUUUGGAUGUUAUCUGUAAUAACUUGUUAUUUAUUUGG